rnacentral:rRNA from 1 species
AGAGCGAACGCUGGCGGCAUGCUUAACACAUGCAAGUCGCACGGGCAGGGGAAACCCUGUCAGUGGCGGACGGGUGAGUAACGCGUAGGUAUCUAUCCUUGGGUGGGGGAUAACGGUUGGAAACGACUGCUAAUACCGCAUGAUAACUGAGGUUUAAAGGCGCAAGUCGCCUGGGGAGGAGCCUGCGUACGAUUAGCUUGUUGGUGGGGUAAAGCCUACCAAGGCGACGAUCGUUAGCUGGUCUGAGAGGAUGAUCAGCCACAUUGGGACUGAGACACGGCCCAAACUCCUACGGGAGGCAGCAGUGGGGAAUAUUGGACAAUGGGCGAAAGCCUGAUCCAGCAAUGCCGCGUGUGUGAAGAAGGUCUUCGGAUUGUAAAGCACUUUCGACAGGGACGAUGAUGACGGUACCUGUAGAAGAAGCCCCGGCUAACUUCGCGCCAGCAGCCGC